CCCCUUUUCUCAGGGAAGAAGCUCUGACGGUACCUGAGGAAUCAGCCUCGGCUAACUCCGUGCCAGCAGCCGCGGUAAUACGGAGGAGGCAAGCGUUAUCCGGAAUUAUUGGGCGUAAAGCGUCCGCAGGUGGCUAUUCAAGUCUGCUGUCAAAGCCCGAAGCUCAACUUUGGAGAGGCAGUGGAAACUGGAAAGCUAGAGAACGGUAGGGGUAGAGGGAAUUCCCAGUGUAGCGGUGAAAUGCGUAGAGAUUGGGAAGAACACCGGUGGCGAAAGCGCUCUACUGGGCCGUAUCUGACACUCAGGGACGAAAGCUAGGGUAGCGAAUGGGAUUAGAUACCCCAGUAGUCCUAGCUGUAAACGAUGGAAACUAGGCGUGGCUUGUAUCGACCCGAGCCGUGCCGAAGCUAACGCGUUAAGUUUCCCGCCUGGGGAGUACGCACGCAAGUGUGAAACUCAAAGGAAUUGACGGGGGCCCGCACAAGCGGUGGAGUAUGUGGUUUAAUUCGAUGCAACGCGAAGAACCUUACCAGGGCUUGACAUGUCGCGAAUCCCGGUGAAAGCUGGGAGUGCCUUCGGGAACGCGAACACAGGUGGUGCAUGGCUGUCGUCAGCUCGUGUCGUGAGAUGUUGGGUUAAGUCCCGCAACGAGCGCAACCCUCGUCCUUAGUUGCCAUCAUUAAGUUGGGCACUCUAGGGAGACUGCCGGUGACAAACCGGAGGAAGGUGGGGAUGACGUCAAGUCAGCAUGCCCCUUACGUCCUGGGCGACACACGUACUACAAUGGUCGAGACAAAGGGCAGCAACUCCGCAAGGACAAGCGAAUCUCAUCAAACUCGGCCUCAGUUCAGAUUGCCGGCUGCAACUCGCCGGCAUGAAGGAGGAAUCGCUAGUAAUCGCAGGUCAGCAUACUGCGGUGAAUCCGUUCCCGGGCCUUGUACACACCGCCCGUCACACCAUGGAAGCUGGCCACGCCCGAAGUCGUUACCCUAACCGUUCGCGGAGGGGGAUGCCGAAGGCAGGGCUAGUGACUGGGGUGAAGUCGUAACAAGGUAGCCGUACCGGAAGGUGUGGCUGGAUCACCUCCUUUUAAGGGAGACCUACCCCAUAAGAAUCCGAAAGAAAAACGAAUAGGAAAUUAUGAGGUCAUCCUAGGUCGAAGGGACUGAUUGAAAAUGC
rnacentral:rRNA from 1 species